rnacentral:piRNA from 4 species
UCAGUCUCAUAAUCUGAAGGUCGUGAGU